rnacentral:rRNA from 1 species
CCUACGGGUGGCUGCAGUCGAGAAUCUUCGGCAAUGGGCGCAAGCCUGACCGAGCGACGCCGCGUGUGGGAUGAAGGCCCUUGGGUUGUAAACCACUGUCAGAGGGGAUGAAGUUCAUGGGAGCAAUCUUCCAUGAUUGACAUAGCCUCAGAGGAAGCACGGGCUAAGUUCGUGCCAGCAGCCGCGGUAAUACGAACUGUGCGAACGUUAUUCGGAAUCACUGGGCUUACAGGGUGCGUAGGCGGCUUGUUAAGUAGGGUGUGAAAGCCCCCGGCUCAACCGGGGAAUUGCGCCCUAAACUGGCGAGCUAGAGUGAGAUAGGGGUGUGUGGAACUUCCAGUGGAGCGGUGAAAUGUGUUGAUAUUGGAAGGAACGCCGGUGGCGAAAGCGACACACUGGAUCUUGUCUGACGCUGAGGCACGAAAGCCAGGGGAGCGAACGGGAUUAGAUACCCCGGUAGUC